rnacentral:rRNA from 1 species
UCGUGCCUACGGGAGGCAGCAGUGAGGAAUAUUGGUCAAUGGGAGAGAUCCUGAACCAGCCAAGCCGCGUGAGGGAAGACGGCCCUAUGGGUUGUAAACCUCUUUUGUCGGAGAACAAAACCCGGGACGUGUCCCGGACUGCGUGUAUCCGAAGAAAAAGCAUCGGCUAACUCCGUGCCAGCAGCCGCGGUAAUACGUAGGGUGCGAGCGUUAAUCGGAAUUACUGGGCGUAAAGGGUGCGCAGGCGGUUGAGUAAGACAGAUGUGAAAUCCCCCAGCUU